rnacentral:lncRNA from 1 species
UCCGAAUAUAGUCGUCCAAUAUAUCAAUCUUCAUGUCUCGGCCAUUCCGAGACUCUUCUUCAUGUUUGUGAUCACAUCCGGGACUUCGAACUAUCUUCGGUACAUCAUAAUAUAUAAACUCAUAAUAUAACUGUCAUCUAACUUUAAGCGUGCGGACCCUACGGGUUCGAGAACUAUGUAGACAUGACCGAGACAUGUCCCCGGCCAAUAACCAAUAGCGGAACCUGUGGCACCCCGAUUCGCAUGGAGCAGGGGGCCUUCGCACUUCAGCCUAGGAUAACACCCGACGCACGACAGGUCCAUGAUACAGCAUUCCAGGUACAAGAAUAUUCAUCAAAUACAUGUGUAUAUACUUACAUCAGUGAUGAAUAUAAUCUUCUGGCAUAGCCCUAAGGCUAUUUACAUGGCAGCGGAAGUCUAUUUAAAUGGCGGCGGAAGUCUUGGCAGUAUGUCCCUCUGGCUGGGCUCCACAACUCACAGGACUGGCAAGAUUACGGCCUAGCACGACGAAACAAAUGAACUACCUACAAAACUGGCAUGACACGCCAGGUCAGUACAUUGAAUGUAUUUGCAAGACAACCAAAUACAUAGCAUCCGAACAAGCAAAAGACAAAGCAAGAACCAAGCGUCUACAACAACCUAUCUCAUAUAAGAAACUAAGCAUGGCAUUAUAUCAACCGAAGACAUAAAUCAAGCUAACCACAUGGCAUCUACUAGCAUGGCAACAACAUAGCAUAUCAAAUUUACUUCUAACAUGGCAAUAGCAAAGCAUAGCAUAUCAUCUCAAUCAUAUCCAUCAAAAGAUGGCAUGGCAUAAAUAAACUAUGCUGAAACUAAACCACCAAUCAUAUCAAAUGCAGACAUAGCAUGUUAACUGUAUGCAACCAUCUCAUGUUCUACCAUGGUUCUUCAAUGCAAACAUAUUACUCAUGCAAUGCAACCAAACUUGUGCACCGAGUCCCUCGGAUUCUCUUACCAACAGUGAUCACCUCAUUUCCUGAUCACCAACAGAGACAAACUCAUGAUCCUUAUGGCGAUCACAACCCGACCAACGACUGGCCCGUGAUCCUUACGGCGAUCACAACCCGACCAACAACUAGACCGUGAUCCUUAUGGCGAUCACAACGCGACCACAUCUGGCCCGUGAUCCUUACGGCGAUCACAACCCGACCACAUCUGGCCCAGCUUAAUUAUUUUAGGUUUAUCCUCCAUUCCGACCAAGACCCGAUAGUGUACCCUACUAAGAACUUAUGCCCAUGACCGAGGACGCGGCUAUCGAUAGUUUAAAUACACUGUGUAGAGGUAGCGCAUUGUACCCACACUACAGAACCCAUGGCCUCGCACUCCCAUUCGUGUGGACCAACGGCAUUCCGACGAAACCGAUCUACUGUCAUGACACUCUCCCGGCCACUCCGACUCACUCCCCACUGGGCUGGUCAUGGGUGGCCCCGUGUCUACCUCCAGACACCUCAACGACCACCAUCGUGGCCCGUCCCACAUUGGGACACGUGCACAAAACUUAACUUAACAACGGGCUCACAAGGUCAUGCUCCGCCUACCUGAUUAGGGUAGCGCGUGCCCAUAACCUUCCCUAGUUGGAGGCACCGACCAGAGGCACGACAAUAGACCGAAUUAAGGUCGUCCCAUAUCGGCAAAUGUGGUUGCACUUGGAAAAAGUUCGAUUUGGCGGCACUAUGACUUGAUCCCAUCGAUGAUGGAGGGGUUUUGUUAUUAAGUCAUGCUAUUAUCUUCUCCAUCAUCAAUCAUUAUACCAGCAUUUUAACAUGAAUGCAACAAUGAGCAUACUUCAUACAAAUGCUUUAACAAAAUAUCGGGCUUCUCAAGUGAACACUUACAGCAUAAAGAACAUGACAAUACCAAGUGCUAACAUAUCCAUGGUGCAUUACCAUCAUCAUAUCAUUUUAUAACGAUGACUUGAAAAUAAAUUAGAGUAGUGACAUGGCAUCAUCAAUAACAACAUUCUAAUUAUCAUGGCAAAAGAUAUCAUGAAAAACACAAGCAUGAAUAAUAAGCAUAAUGAAAUAACUGCACACGAAAACGAUAAGAAACAACUACAACUACACACACACAAGGUGCAAGCAAAGUCAAAAGGCAAGUUCGAGGCUCAUGAUAAGAGGUUGGCUUGCCUGGGGGUCGACAAAUACUCCGGGAAGAAGUGGGAAACGAUCGCGGAAAAAUUGCCGGAAACAGUUCUCUCUCGGAGGGGCUUUUUACGGACAAGGGCAAAGUGGUCAUUUUUACAGUGUCAACCCAUAGUGAAAAUGAUGGAAACGGAACGGGCUCGACGAGACGAAGACGUGGGCAUUGGAUUUACCUCAAACGGAGUUACUGUUAAAAAGAUACGGACGUUUAAAACUCAGGGACUAAUCUGUAAAAAUUCUUCUACAAACAGGUCCCUGGCAGUUUGAAACGGACGUGUCUUUUCGGCAAUACGUCUUCUUAUCAGGAAAACGGCUCGCGGCGGGGGCGCUUCCACUUAUCCACGCUGGCGAAGACUAGGUCAAAGCAGCAGCUGCGGGGCCGGGCUCCUGGGCCACUGACUGGUUGGGCCGCAGGGCCCGCCUGGCCAGCCUUGCCAAGUCAAUGCUCCAGUCGGCCGGCUCCUUCUUCUCUGCGACGCACGCCCGCGGGACAGAAGACGGCCGUGCUCCGGCGACGAGUCCCGGCGACACGGGCCACCUCCGGCGACGCUCCGGCCACCGGCGUGCUCACCGAGGAGAGGCGCACCCGUUCCCCCAUUUCAUGGACUCCAAAAACGAGGGGGACGACGGAGUUCUUGAGAAUGGCGGACGGCGUUGGAGGCUUCGGUCGUCGGCGUGGGGAGGGCUACGGUGGCUCCGGCGACGAGGCGAGGAUCUGGGAGGUUCCGCCGGAGUUCGGAGGGUCUGGUGGGGAUGCUAGGAGGGAGGAAGGGCUCCGGUGGCCGCGGAUUUAGUCGGUCACCGACGGCGGCCAUGGCGAUGGGGAGUGGUCAGAGAGGCUCGGAGGCGAGGGGCAAGAGCUGCGGGAGGCUUGGUGGACUGCGAGGGGGCUCGAGGCUGCUUAAAUAUCCGCAGGGAAGGCUCGAGAAGGAGGGGGCGAGGUGGCACGCGGCGGGCGACGUGUCGCACGUCGGCGACGGCGCAGUCGUCGGCAGACGCGGCCAGGGCUCACGGGAACGCACGGGAAGGCGACUAGGAGGGCACGGACGAGCGCCAGAGGCUCACGGAGACGAGCAGAGCUCGAGGACAAGAGGGGGAAGAGGACAGAGGAGAGGAAGAAGACGAGCUCACGGGCACGCACUGCUCGAGCUUUGGCACGGCUCGCCGGAGAAGCAAACGGAGGGGGCGCGGGGUCCAGGCGAACGGCAACGACGAUGCGGAGCUGAAGAACAUUAAUGGCGAGGUCAGGGACUGUCGGAGCAGCGCUGACGUCAAGAACAGUGGCUAGACCACCGCUUUGACAGGUUGCACGCGUAGUCACCACUGGCAUGGCGCGAUCCUUGGAUUUUACUGCGGUUAAAACAUGUCUAACGCGUAUCCUUCAAAGAUGUAGUGUUACUGAGGUAAAUGCUUGGGCAGAGACAAAGUGAGCUGAGUAAAUCAAGCUCCACAAGUUUACUGUAGUAAACUUGUCAAUGUCCUAGAGGUAAAACCACAAGUUUAAUGCAGUAAAUUUGAUGUCUGGGAGUCUUAGGGUAGCAAGUACUGCGGACCUGGUAGUUUUGAGGGCAUUAUGACAAUUAUUUAGCAUGGUUGCUGUACAACUGCUAAUAUAUGUCCAGAAACUAGAUGAUGAUGAAGCACUCCCUAGGGAGGUUGGAUUGAGAUAUAACUUGGCAAAUCCUCACGAUUAGGUCAUAAGUAGAUGCUGUAAAAAUAUCAGCCCAAAUGGACUUGCCAAAUUGAUACUUUCUUCACAAGCAUUACUUUGGACCUGAAACUUGGGAAAAUCCGAGGAAAAUAUUGGCUAAGUAAAAUUAGCCAAACUCUUGAGUAGGUGGGUUAUAUGAAUAGUAGAACGCCUGGAAUUAGUUUUAGCCAUAAUAGAGCAACAUAAAAUAUACUUGAUUCACAAACUGAAAAUUUGGACAGAAAACAAGAAUUGCUCCUGUGCUCCUAUAACUAAAUGAACUGAUCUGAAUUUUGGUGAAGGAUAAUUAUUUGAGAUAUUAGAGAGGAUGGAAAAGUUUCAUUCCAUUUGGAAUCUCUAUGAAGGUACUUCCUUCACAAAGUGACAAUCUGGUCGGAAACUUUGAAAAAUUGCAGAGGGAGAUAGGACGAUUGGAUUGAGCUCAUCUUUGGUAUCCAUGGGUUAUUUAUCAAUAGUAAACACCCUACCAAUUUUCCGCUCAUAUGGAAUUAGUAAUAAAGCACUUCCUUUGCAAAAUUUCAGAGAAGGCAGAAACUUGCAUUGUUUCAUCUGCUCAAAUUUUGAUCUGUGAAACAUGAGAUGAUGAUGGAACUAGUGAUUAUAUAGCAAGGGAAAGCUCCACAAUUUAUGUGAGAAGUUUAACAGCUAUAAAAAUAUUAGUUCCUUUAGAAAGUGGCAGAAAUGCAAUAUUGGUAUUAAAUAGGAAAAGGCAAUUUUCCUUAUUUAAUUAUGACCAAUAUAAUUUCCAGAGCUUUUAUUAGGCAUAAUUAUCAACUCCACCAAUUCACAUGAAUUUAGGAGAUGUCUAGCUAUGCCUUUUGAUUUUAUUCCACAAAAAGGCAAGAAAAGGAAUAAAUAACAAUUCAAAAAUAUUGCAUGGGACUUGGCUAUAUUUUUGCAUAUCCAAGGUUUAGAAGGAUAGGAGGGUCUCUAGGAACAGAUGGGUUGAUCAACAGAUCAAGGAAAAUGAUAGCCCCUUUGAAAUCACAAAGGGUAUAUUCAAAUCCCAAAAAAUUGGAAUUAGGGUUUGAGAGGGUUUCAGAUGAUGCAACUGAGGUCUUGCCCAUUGAAAAAAAGACUUGAGCAAGUUUUUAAAGGUUGGAAAUGACAAGAACUCUCAGAGUCAUCCAACAAACUCAGGGGAAAGAUUUUGAAAAAUGAGUGCGAGGAAGGAAUAACAGCACAAAAAUUGAUAACCCAAUUUUGGGGCUGUUACAAACCUUCCCCCCUUAAAAGAAUCUCGUCCUCGAGAUUCCUAGGGUUACAGCAGAAAGAAAAGAUAACCACUCCGGGGGAAAAUCUCUGGGUUAAAAUUUAACCCUUUGAUUGAAUUUUAACGAGUUGGGGCACCGAUAAUUGGUACACCCAUGGAGAGACCGGGAAAACACGGCUAAAUCCACGGCUAGGGGCACUCGAGAUCAAACUCUCAAAAAAUUGCUAGAUGCACCCAGUGAACAGUGGACUCACCGGCUGACACGUGGGUCCAGGGCCCACUGGCAGCCUCCUUCUUCUACCUCCGGCUGACUGCUUCUCCCGUGCUGCUGCUUCGCGUGCGGCUUGGCGCAUCGUGCAUCUAGCUCCUAGGGCGAUGAGGACCCUAGUGCCAUUGUGCGUGGUGUGCACGAUGCCAGUGCAGCGAGCACUCACGUCGCGGGCCAGCACCUUGUCGGCACUGCUCGCGGAUUCGCCUCCUGGACGCCGGUGAUCGGGCAACGAGCGAGUUUUCCUGGACUCCGUGCACCGUACACCGGGGUUGGGCUAUAAAAACGGCAGCACGACUUGCGUCCAACACACAAACACAAUGCCACUCUACUACCUCUUUGGUUUGAGCGAGAUCGAGCCGAGCUCCUUCAGCGAGGAGGUGUUCUUGGUGGCACUACGGUCCUUCCUCGCGGCACUGCUGGGCACGCUGGUCGGCUCGUCGAUCCUCCUGGUGAUACUCAUCAGGAACGAGCGGGCUCGAAACAACGCGUGGCUGGUGGCUGGAGGUGUGGAAGACGGUGCACGGGGUGGUCCUCUGCCACGCUUGGUCCUCUGUCGCGUCACGCCGAUGGAGUAAUCGCGUGCUGCGGUGGAGCGGUGGUGGCGACUUGCGGCGCCACGCAAGGCAGGGAUGGUGUGGGUGAUGGGGUCCAGACGCAGGUGAGGUGGCUAUGCUAGCUCAGGAAUCGAUUUAGGGCACGGAAAAAAUUUCGCGGAUCGCUCCAUGAAAUGUAGGUGUCAAGGUAGAAUCGGAGUUGAAAUCUGUAUCGGGGAGUUGUAAUGGAUCGCGAGAAAUAAAGCUGGCAGUGUUUCUCUAGAAACACAAUUGGGUUCACGAAAAAGAAUCAGGGAUGAGAAAUGGCCAAAUGAAAAUGGCCUCUUUGGGGUUCUGGGUUUGGGAACAUCUGGCACACGGGGUAUGCACAGAUAGAGAGGGAUAUGUGACUUUGCAUUCCCCCGAGUACUGCUCAGUUGUACUCGUGGGUGAACUGGGUAUGUGUGCAGUAUGCAGUAAAAUCCAAACAAACAGAUGCAAUAAAGAGGCAACGGAAAAACACACCAAACAAAUCACACUAAAGUGUUUUAAUGCUAGUGGGUAUGUGUACUCCUGGUAUACAUAUACCUACACCAGCGUGCAUUUUAUUAAAGACUUGGGACGAGUCAAUGUGGUUUUUAGUGUAUGUGUCGUACUGAUAAAAUCUUGUUAGAAAACAUUGCCAACCCGGUCAAACAUUUCUGUUUGACAGAGAGACAAGCAAAAACAAACACACAAACAAAAGCAAGCAAGCAAAUAACACAGCAUACGGGUUACAACAGUACCAGCAUACAACAAGCACAGACGCACUACGUGCUAAUCGAAACUACUCACUCCGGGAUACAUGGUUCUACCCUCAUAUCGGGGAUGAACCGACAGACCGAUCGACUAGCAAGGACCACUGACUGUGUGACCGAAGUCAGGCAGAAGACUGGCCUUGUUGGGGCUCUCCUGGAGGACGAAGACUGAGCCAAUCUCCAUCUUCAUCAUCUGGCACUUCUAUGGGUUGGGGCGGUGGGGCUGGAAUUGCUCCAGGAAAAUGCUGCUAAUGGAUCAGGAGAAGAGACUUGUCGAGGGUGAUGAUGUUUGGCUUGGACCACAUCACAGGUUGAGAGGAUAGCACUGGUUGAUAGGAUAGCACUGGUUCGGAUGGCGUUGGGCCAACAGCUUGAGAUGCGAACUUACGAGCCUCACGGUAAGCUUCCUUGACGACUCAUACCACAUUAUUGUCCAUGGCUCUAAACUCGGCAAGCAGCAUUGAAAUCAACAUCCCCUGGGCAGUGAUGUAUUGCACCAGGCGAGCGAUUGUAGGAUCAUCUCCUUGGCUAACGGAAGAAGGCUGCAUUACUGCAUUUGACGCAGUGGGGAAAAAGCAGAACUCCCGCCUUGUUGCUACAUGCGGGAAGUUGGUUCGGAGGUGAAGGAUAGCCUCCACAGCAGCGGCUUGAAUGGCUAAACAAGAGGUAGGCAUGGCUCUACCCUGUAAAACCAAAGGCUGGACAUCUGCUACAGGGCCUAGGCUGAUGUGCACUCUUGCAGUAAAGCGAUGAAGGUGAGGGACGGGUGUCGAUUGGAACACCAGGUAAUCGGGGCUAAUCCUACCGACAAAUGCUUUGGUGAGCAUCUCGGAAAGAAGGGGUGGAAAACCAGGGUGGUUGAUGGCAUAGGUGCGGGUGUAAUACGUGGGAGUUUUGGAGCUGCUAGCCAUGGUUGGGGUGCUACUAGCUAAGCUUUUCUGCAGGGACAUGGCAGACUGAGGAACGAGCAAUACGGCUAGCGGAAAGGGGGUUUUAUAGGCGGCUACGCGGGACAGGCCCACAUGGCGUGGCCCCUUUCCCUUAAUGGCGAAGGGAAAGCGAUGCGGCCGACCAGAAAGGAUAGGAUUGCUACACGUUACACGGAUAACUAGGCGGGGACAGCGGGGUGAGGACGUGUCGGUCCCGACUGCGCCACCUGUUGAUUAACAGUGGCCAUGCCAGAUGCCAGGGAUGGGUCAAAUCCCUUAGGGUCAUUACGGGUUGAUGGUGGCAGUGAUCUAAUGCUAGGAUAAUCUAUGCCAGCCUGGCUGCUCUGAUACCAAGCCCUAUGGCACCUCGAUCCGCAUGGAGCAGGGGGCCUUCGCACGUCAGCCCAGGAUAACACCUGACGCACGACAGGUCCAUGAUACAGCAUUCCAGGUACAAGAAUAUUCAUCAAAUACAUGUGUAUAUAGUUACAUCAGUGAUGAAUAUAAUCUUCUGGCAUAGCCCUAAGGCUAUUUACAUGGUAGCAGAAGUCAAUUUAAAUGGCGGCAGAAGUCUUGGCAGUAUGUCCCUCUGGUUGGGCUCCACAACUCACAGGACUGACAAGAUUACGGCCUAGCACGAUGAAACAAUUGAACUACCUACAAAACUGGCAUGACACACCAGGUUAGCACAUUGAAUGUACUUGCAAGACAACCAAAUACAUAGCAUACAAACAAGCAGAAGACAAAGCAAGAACCAAGCGUCUACAACAACCUAUCUCAUAUCAGAAACUAAGCAUGACAUUAUAUCAAACGAAGACAUAAAUCAAGCUAACCUCAUGGCAUCUACUAGCAUGUCAACAACAUAGCAUAUCAAAUUUACUUCUAACAUGGCAAUAGCAAAGCAUAUCAUAUCAUCUCAAUCAUAUCCAUCAAAACUUGGCAUGGCAUAAAUAAACUAUGCUAAAACUAAACCACCAAUCAUAUCAAAUGCAGACAUAGCAUGUUAACUGCAUGCAACCAUCUCAUGUUCUACCAUGGUUCUUCAAUGCAAAGAUAUUACUCAUGCAAUGCAACCAAACUUGUGCACCGAGUCCCUCAGACUCUCUUACCAACGGUGAUCACCUCAUUUCCUGAUCACCAACAGAGACAAACUCAUGAUCCUUACGGCGAUCACAACCCGACCAACGACUGGCCCGUGAUCCUUACGGCGGUCACAACCCGACCAACAACUGGCCUGUGAUCCUUACGACGAUCACAACCCGACCACAUCUGGCCCGUGAUCCUUACGGCGAUCACAACCCGACCACAUCUGGCCCAGCUUAAUUAUUUUAGGUUUAUCCUCCAU